CUCUCGGUAGCCAAGUUCGUUUAAGGCGCAAGACUGUAAAUCUUGAGAUCGGGCGUUCGACUCGCCCCCGGGAGA
rnacentral:tRNA from 1 species